AAAGUAAAUCAGAAGAGAUGUGUCAAAGUGUGUGACUUAUUCCCCUCGUCUCUCGUUCUUUUUUUUUUUUUUUUUCUCUCUCAA
rnacentral:ribozyme from 1 species